rnacentral:rRNA from 1 species
CACGUAGGGGACGAGCGUUGUCCGGAUUCAUUGGGCGUAAAGCGCGCGCAGGCGGAUGCACGCGUCCCGCGUGAAAUCGCCCGGCUCAACCGGGCGGGGUCGCGGGAUACGGUGCGUCUGGAGCACGGGAGGGGGCAGUGGAAUUCCCGGUGUAGUGGUGGAAUGCGUAGAGAUCGGGAGGAACACCAGUGGCGAAGGCGACUGCCUGGACCGUGGCUGACGCUGAAGCGCGAAAGCCAGGGGAGCGAACGGG